rnacentral:ncRNA from 1 species
AUUUCCGAGGGGCGCUGCGACCCUGCUCAAUCAGGGCCAGGCUUGGAAUGCGGGAUGCCCCUGUAGUAACGGCGCUCAUUCAUU